AUACUUGUAUGUGCCGCGCUGAGUGCACUCGUUCCCGUCAGAUCACGGAAGUUAAGAAGUGCCGGGCACGGAUAGUACUUGGAUGGGUGAACGCCUGGGACUCUGUGGUGUUGGCGAA
rnacentral:rRNA from 13 species